rnacentral:tRNA from 1 species
GCGGCUGUGGUGAAAUUGGUAGACACGCUGGUUUUAGGUACCAGUGCUUUUAGCGUGGGGGUUCAAGUCCCUCCAGCCGCA